UUAAGCUUCAUUUUUUUUCCCUCUUGUCUUAAUCUGUUUUGUGUUCCUGUGAAGAAAUACCUGAGACUGGGAAAUUUAUAAAGAAAAGAGGUUUAUUUUGCUUAUGGUUCUACAGGCUGUACAAGAAACAUGGCACCAACAUCUGCAUCUGGUGUGGACCUCAGGCUACUUCCAUUCAUGGCGGAAGGUGAAAGGGAGCUGGUGUUGCGGAGAUCACAUAGAAAGAGAGGAGGAAAGAGAGAGAGGGAUAAGGCCAACCCUGCUUAUUCCUGUAAACCAACCAGUGAUCUCUGGCUGCUGCUUAGAAGAAACAAGAGGGAUGGCUAAUUAAACAGGUUGAAGUAAAGGAGCCAGCCCAAACCCACCAAAACCAAAAUGGUGACGAGAGUGACAUCUGGUCGUCCUCACUGCUACACUCCCACCAGCACCACGACAGUUUACAAAUUCUAUGACAAUGUCAGGAAGUUACCCUAUGUGGUCUAAAAAGAGGAGGCAUGAAUAAUCCACCCCUUGUUUAGCAUAUCAUCAAGAAAUAACCAUAAAAAUAGGCAAUCUGCAGCCCCCAGGCUGCUCUGUCUAUGGAGUAGCUGUUCUUUUUUUCUUUUACUUUCUUAAUAAACUUCCUUUCACUUUGCACUGCAGACUCGCCCUGAAUUCUUUCUUGCAUGAGAUCCAAGAACCCUCUCUUGGGGUCUGAAUUCAGACCCUUGUCAUGUAACAACCAGAGCACCCCCGGGUUUAUAUUUAGUGAUCCUUUCAUUCCCUCAUACAAAUGCUCAUUAUGUAACAAGUCAGAAACAGCUUUUCUAGUCUUUUAUAUGUGGUAUAAUCAUUAUGACUUAAAUACACAAUGUGGGUGUCAUAAGGCAGAAUUUUGUAGGUGUUUUAACAGAUACAUAAAAGGGAGAAGUAAAUUUGGACUAGGAAAAUCCAGAUAAGCUCCAUGAAGAAGACUGCUGGAGAGUUAAGCUUUGAAGGAUGAGUGAGGGUGUAAGAAGCAGACAUAGGAGACAGGACAUUCCAGGUAUUGGAGGGUCCCAAUGCCAUGUGAAGUAUGGGAAAGGGACUAUUAAAUGUGUUGGAUACUUCAAAAUAAUGUUACAUCUUCAUAGCUAUGUUAUAUUCUCUUGACGUGUGUUGCAAGUUGCUGGAAUAUUUUACUGACACCCUGUAGCUAAGAUUUUUUUCCAGACUCAAAGAUAACUAGUGGGCUGGCCAGUGGUCUAGGAAAUAAUCAGGCAGGUGAUUUCAGCAUAAUGAGUUAAGUGGAUACAGCCCCUGGCUGAGGGCUAUUCUUAUGUGACACUGGCAGAGUUUCAGAACUACUUAGGUGGGCUUAAGCAUUUAUUUAUUAUCUUUUAUGUUCUAGGCACUAUUGUAGGCAGUGGAAAUGUGGCAAUAGACAAGCUGUGGCUCUGCUUUCCUGGCGGUAACAUUCCAAUACAUAAGAGGGACACUAAAAAGGUAAAUAAAAAAUACACUGAUUUUAGCUGAUCUCAUUUCACAGAGGUCAGCGCACUCUCCCCUCUCUGAGAGUGUUACUAUGCUUAAUAAACUUUUGCUGCUUUGCUGAAAAAAAAAAGUGAAUACAUUGAUUUCAAGGUAACUCACGUUGUUUCAUGAUAUAUAAAAAAUAAAAACAGGUUGUUGUGAUAAGGGAAGUGAUGGAUGGAAAUGCCCCUCCAGGGAACAACUUUUUAGUAAGAUCUAAAUAAUAGGAAGACACGUGAAAAGAAGCCAGUAGGCAGAAAUCAUGAGGAAGCAAAACUAGGCAAUCAGAAACAGAAGAGAGGUAAAAACAGGUGGAGAGAAGACACAGAGAACUCAACUAACCAGAAGGGCUGUUGGGUUUCCAGAACUAUUGCUUGAAUUUUGACUUCUAGGGUCCCUGUUGGCUCCUGAAUAGAUGCAUAAGUAGAUGCAUAUGCUCCAUUUUCCAUCUUUAUUCUGUUAUAAUAUAUUCCUAUCUAUCUAACAUCUAAUGAUCUAUUGAUCUAACUGUCCAUCCAUCCAAUCAUUUUCAUAUUGUGGGACAGUUAGGUUGCUGCCAGUUUUUAGCAACACAAGGAGCAAGACAGCAGUGAACAUUCUUGUACACACUUUAUCAAGUACAUGGUAUGGGAUUUUUGCAUGUACCUGGAAUUGAAACUGCUGGGUGGUAAAGGAUGUCUACCUUUAACUUGAUAAAAACCUGCAAAAUUGUUUUCCAAAGUUUUUACAAAUAAAUUUACUUCUCCACAAGAAAUGUACACUUGGCAUUAUCAGACUUCAAAAUUUUUUCCAAUCUAAUGGUGUGAAAUGG
rnacentral:lncRNA from 10 species